rnacentral:tRNA from 1 species
GCUUCCGUGGUCCAAUGGUUAGGAUUCCACCCUUCCAUUCAAGUUGUAAGGUGGAGGUUCGUGUUCGAUUCACGGCGGUUGCA